UGUUGAAAUUGUGUCGACUUUUCAGCUCAGUUUUGUCCCAGUUUUUGACUUUUUGUGCUGGUGUGAAACACAUUAUUGUCGCCGCUGCUCUGCUGUUCUGGACUGAGACAGUUUAAUUUUCCACGGCUGAACUCUGCCGAGCAGCUUAAGUAGUGAAAGGGAUUUCAAAUAAAACUCCCGAGCCAAGUCUGCUGCGUUCACUUACUCAUGUUUGCGUUCGCGGCUGUGGCUCCGAGUGGGUGACAUAAUAUUUGACAUGAGGUGCCAAGUGUGAGAAAGUGAGUGUGUGUUUUGUUCUCCUCAGGCUGUGGAGGCAUUAAAGCAACUGGCUGGAUUGGUUGAGAGCCUGUCGACUGAUGGGUCCGAGCAGAUGUACAGCUCUGCGCCGUCGGUGUGUGUGGGAUGUGGGAUAAAUCAGUCAUGUCUCUCAGUAAUAUCUGCUUCCUUUGCUCCUGUGGAGACGCUCGGCGGGUCGCUUCACAUCUCCACAGCUCCGGAUGGAAAGGAAAUAAAACACAGGAGACCAGCUGGAGAACUUCCCGAAAGAGAAGCAUGAAACUUUCUCUUUUGGACCAGGAAUGCUAAAGAAGAGCUCCUAUGACACCCAGGAUGGUUUCGUGCGUCAUCACAGCUCGGUUCAUGUCGGGAGAUCUGACCGAAAUCUCAGGGAGCUGGACAAGGUUUCUGCAGAUUGAGGCUUCAUCUACAGUCCUGAUGAGCAAAUCUGGGAGAAACAAGUA